GCCUACCUGAUGAGUCCUAAAAAGGACGAAACCGAUCGUGGUUUGUCGAAGAC
rnacentral:hammerhead_ribozyme from 1 species